AGUGAACGCUGGCGGUAGGCCUAACACAUGCAAGUCGAACGGCAGCACAGUAAGAGCUUGCUCUUACGGGUGGCGAGUGGCAGACGGGUGAGGAAUACAUCGGAAUCUACUUUUUCGUGGGGGAUAACGUAGGGAAACUUACGCUAAUACCGCAUACGACCUACGGGUGAAAGCAGGGGAUCUUCGGACCUUGCGCGAUUGAAUGAGCCGAUGUCGGAUUAGCUAGUUGGCGGGGUAAAGGCCCACCAAGGCGACGAUCCGUAGCUGGUCUGAGAGGAUGAUCAGCCAAACUGGAACUGAGACAAGGUCCCGACUCCUACGGGAGGCAGCAGUGGGGAAUAUUGGACAAUGGGCGCAAGCCUGAUCCAGCCAUACCGCGUGGGUGAAGAAGGCCUUCGGGUUGUAAAGCCCUUUUGUUGGGAAAGAAAAGCAGCAGGUUAAUACCCCGCUGUUCUGACGGUACCCAAAGAAUAAGCACCGGCUAACUUCGUG
rnacentral:rRNA from 1 species